UACGUAGGGCGCAAGCGUUGUCCGGAGUUAUUGGGCGUAAAGCGCGCGCAGGCGGCCUCGCGCGCCCGACGUGAAAGCCCCCGGCUUAACCGGGGAGGGUCGUUGGGGACGGCGGGGCUUGAGGGCGGGAGAGGGCGGUGGAAUUCCCGGUGUAGUGGUGAAAUGCGUAGAGAUCGGGAGGAACACCUGUGGCGAAGGCGGCCGUCUGGGCCGACCCUGACGCUGAGGCGCGAAGGCGUGGGGAGCGAACGGG
rnacentral:rRNA from 1 species